GGGGAUUUAGCUCAGAGGUAGAGUGCUUGCCUAGCAAGCACAAGGCCCUGGGUUCAGAGUCCCCA
rnacentral:tRNA from 1 species